rnacentral:piRNA from 1 species
AUCAUGUGACGUUGGAGUGGGAGGAU